UACGUAGGGUGCAAGCGUUAAUCGGAAUUACUGGGCGUAAAGCGUGCGCAGGCGGUUUUGUAAGUCUGUCGUGAAAUCCCCGGGGCUUAACCCUGGGAAUGGCGAUGGAGACUGCGAGGCUAGAGUUUGGCAGAGGGGGGUAGAAUUCCACGUGUAGCAGUGAAAUGCGUAGAGAUGUGGAGGAACACCGAUGGCGAAGGCAGCCCCCUGGGUCAAAACUGACGCUCAUGCACGAAAGCGUGGGGAGCAAACAGG
rnacentral:rRNA from 1 species